rfam:Schistosoma mansoni, Puerto Rico, WGS project CABG01000000 data, contig: 0071
AUCCAACUGACGGAUCCCAAAUAGGACGAAAUGCGUGUCCUGGAU